AUGUCGAGGGCCGUCAGGGUCCGCGGCGACGAGCUGGAGACGGAGCGGGGAGCAAGGGCGAAGAAGCGAAGCCUGGCAGUGGAUCGCUCGACGAGCUCUAGAUCUCCCGGCGACCUAGCUGUUCGGAGUUCCCAUUCCCACCCAGAGAUACUGUUCGCGAUCUUCGAGCCCGACGAAGCUCAAUCCGGAGCAACACAAGGUCGUGUGUGCGAUGUGGCCGAGUCCGCGACGGAGGAAUCCUCCGAUCCACCCAGCUCACCGAUCUACGAACCCUACAUUCCUGACGAACUAGCCGCAGAUCCAGUCGUACGCUCCGCCUUCAAGCAUGCCAUGGCUAAGUACGAGGCAGAAGAAGAUCGUCUAGCUGACCUGUUCACUAUGGAUCACUACUGGCACCAACCAUCUUCCUGCUUGCACACUGACAGUCGUUUCCUUCCCAUCCGUGAACUCGCAAGAGAUGCAGUACUUUUAGCUGCUAAAUCAGUCAUCUUGCUCUCAUCUUUUCUCGAGAACCAACUGCUGAAUAAAUGCUGUGGCUUGUGGUUUCAAAGGGACGGCCAGAGAAAAACAGCCCUUGUUUUGACGUCUGCCCAUCUAAUUCGUAAAGAUGAUAUCCACAAGUGGAAGCGGCAAUGGACAGGCGAAUAUCAUAAGAAUGCUAAGGUCAUUGUUCAUUUGCUGGAUAACAAAACUACACAAGGCCAGCUCAUCUAUCUUCAAGAGCAUUAUGAAUUUGCUAUUUAUGAAGUUCAAGUGGACAAACCAGUUCAUCUACCCACUUUUAAUGACGGUGUGCAUUCUGGUCAAGAUGUUUUCCGCCUUGGAAGAGAUGCAGAUUUGGAUAUAAAGAUAACACAUGGUAAUUUGGCCUAUGACAUUCCAUCUCGGUAUGAGAGAUGCCAUUACAUGUAUUUUCUUCGUGAUGCAUCUAGUCUCAAACUGUUACAUGAUGAUGGAGGGCCCAUCAUUGACUUAGAAGGAAAAGUUGUGGGUCUAGUUAACAAUCAAAUCAAUGAGACGUUUGUACCUUCGUCAAUAUUGCAUAAGUGCUUCGAUUUUUGGAGGAGGUUCAAUUGCAUGCCUCGCCUCCAUCUUGGAAUGACAUUUAGUCCAAUCAAGUUUUUAGAUCCUAUUUGUAUUGAGAGGAUGACUCGUAAGCAUAAGAUCGACUCUGGUCUUAUUGUUGAGCAGGUGUCAAAAGAAUCACAUGCUGAGAAAAUUGGAAUUCGCAAGGGUGAUGUCAUUGAAAGUUUUAAUGGAAAGCACAUUUCUACUACAAUUGAGUUGGAAAGCAUGUUGAUAGACUUAUGUUGGGAUCAUUUUGAUCAAAGAAAGAAAUUGAAUGCUGAAAAAGAUGUUUCGGUGAAAAUAUUUGAUGCUACUAAACUUUGUCCGAGAACUAGAAACUUGACUGCAAUUGUAUCGGAUUGUGGAGAGGACAUUGUAAAAGGUGCUUACCCUAUCAUGGGUGAAGAAGCCAUGUCAGUCUUAUGA
rnacentral:rRNA from 1 species